rnacentral:rRNA from 1 species
UACGUAGGGUGCGAGCGUUAAUCGGAAUUACUGGGCGUAAAGAGCGCGCAGGCGGUCGUUCAAGUCGAGUGUGAAAGCCCCCGGCUCAACUGGGGAGGGUCAUUCGAUACUGAUCGACUGGAAGGCAGGAGAGGGAAGCGGAAUUCCCGGUGUAGUGGUGAAAUGCGUAGAUAUCGGGAGGAACACCAGUGGCGAAGGCGGCUUCCUGGCCUGUUCUUGACGCUGAGGCGCGAAAGCUAGGGGAGCAAACGGG